AUUGAACGCUGGCGGCAGGCCUAACACAUGCAAGUCGAACGGUAGCACAGAGAGCUUGCUCUCGGGUGACGAGUGGCGGACGGGUGAGUAACGUCUGGGAAACUGCCCGAUGGAGGGGGAUAACUACUGGAAACGGUAGCUAAUACCGCAUAACGUCGCAAGACCAAAGUGGGGGACCUUCGGGCCUCACACCAUCGGAUGUGCCCAGAUGGGAUUAGCUAGUAGGUGGGGUAAUGGCUCACCUAGGCGACGAUCCCUAGCUGGUCUGAGAGGAUGACCAGCCACACUGGAACUGAGACACGGUCUAGACUCCUACGGGAGGCAGCAGUGGGGAAUAUUGCACAAUGGGCGCAAGCCUGAUGCAGCCAUGCCGCGUGUAUGAAGAAGGCCUUCGGGUUGUAAAGUACUUUCAGCGGGGAGGAAGGCGGUGAAGUUAAUAGCUUCACCGAUUGACGUUACCCGCAGAAGAAGCACCGGCUAACUCCGUGCCAGCAGCCGCCGCAG
rnacentral:rRNA from 1 species